AGUAAGGAAGAGUAUGUCUGCAAUACAGAAGAGCCCUUAGGGCAUUUCAGGAUUACCAUGCAACGUGGUUAAGGUCAACAGAAAACUACAACAGCCCAAUCCAGGCAACAUUACACUACUAACAUCUCAAAAUCUUAUAGAGUGAAGAUUUGGAUCACUUAACCAGUUACAGGGUAUCAAGGAGAAGAAUAAACAUCACCCAAGAACUUUUCUUUCUUUUCUGAGGAAAGGGCCUUUGGACUCACACUGGAACUAACACCAUUGGCUUUCCUCAGUCUCCGGCCUUUGCACUUGGACUAGAAUUCUAUCAUUGGCUCUCCUAUGUCUCCACCUUGCCAAAUGAAGAUCUUGGGACUUCUCAGACUUCAUAAUCAUGUAGUAAGAAGAAUCUGGUUCCUGUUACUCCAUCUUGAUUAGAAAUAGAAAUUCCCACAAUCUAUUUUGACCCCUGUUUUAUAGCUUCAAGGUAAUGUAAGUAAUACAAUUUUUAAAUAAAUGGUGUCAUUGAUCAAGAUUUUUAGUCAAAUUUUGCUAUUCUCAUUCUCUUUUUUUGUUUUUUUUUCGUUUUGUUUUUGAGACGGUGUCUCGCACUGUCGCCUGGGCUGGAGUGCAGUGGUGCUAUCUCGGCUCGCUGCAGCCUCCGCCUCCUAGGUUCAAGCGAUUCUCCUGUCUCAGCCUCCCAAGUAGCUGGGAUUACAGCUGCCAGCUACCAUGCCUGGCUAAUUUUUUGUAUUUUUAGUAGAGACGGGGUUUUACUAUGUUGACCAGGUGGGUCCCGAACUCCUGACCUUGUGAUCCACCUGCCUCGGCCUCCCAAAGUGUUGGAAUUACAGGAAUAAGCCACCAUGCCCAGCCUAUUUUUCUUAUAUUAUGUCAUUCAGGGACUGUGUCCUUUGAUUCUAACCAAUGCAGGAUUUUUUUUAUCCAUAUGUAUCGAACAAGGUCAAUAAUAAAAGAAAUGAUUGAAUUUGCAUUGGAAAAUAAAUAUUUCCUUCUCCUCAUACUUCUUGGAGAAUGUUUUAAC
rnacentral:lncRNA from 1 species